rnacentral:rRNA from 1 species
UACGUAGGUUGCGAGCGUUAUCCGGAUUCAUUGGGCGUAAAGAGCUUGUAGGUGGCUAGGUAAGUUGGACGUGAAAACUCUAGGCUUAACUUGGAGAGGCCGUUCAAUACUGCAUAGCUUGAGGAUGUCAGAGGGAAGUGGAAUUCCUGGUGUAGCAGUGAAAUGCGUAGAUAUCAGGAGGAACACCCGUGGCGAAGGCGGCUUCCUGGGACAUUACUGACACUGAGAAGCGAAAGCUAGGGGAGCAAACGGG